CGGGCGGGUUUAUUAUUGAGCCCGGCGUCCCGCCCGCGGUACUUCUUGUCCAGACCGUUGAGCUACGAUUCUGAAGGCAGGGCGACGCGGAGACCGAAAGCACCCAGACGCGGCGGUAAUCGAGGCAGCGACGUGAGAGCCGUGACGGAGUGGCCUGGGCGAGGGAGGGGCAGGGAGGGUGGGGUCGGGCCAAGGACGGUGGGGUUGGGGGUGUGCAACCGCACAGCUCGGAAGGUACUCAGCCAAAACACCCUGGGCUGGCACUGGGUCCCACUGUCUUAGUCGAAAUCGCACACCUAGUCUCAGAACUUAGUGAUGCUCAGGGGAGUUUUUAAUGUCUCCUUGCAGAAAGAACUCAGUGAAAGAUAAAAUGACAGUGAGAAGCGGAUCUACUGCAUAUUCGUAGACAGAAUGCAGUCCCUCUCAAGAGGCUUGAGAGCAGCCCCAAAACAUGGGAUCUUUAGUUUUUAUGGCCUGGGUAACUUCAUAGACUAUUCCAGGUAUCUUGAGGAGAGGCAGAGAUUUCAAGGAACUGGGCCACCGCCCACGUUUUGGCUUUUUAUGGUCAGCCUGGAUCUGUCGUGGCGCCUAUGGGUGUAUCAUUUAGCAUGCUAUUGUAUUACAAGGAGCAGAUAGUGAGGCUCAGUGUCUUCUAAAAGUCAAAUCUUCUGCCUCAUUGGUUCGUGGACCUAGUUGGUUCUAACCAGUUUUUGUCAAAUCCUCAAGGGCUAUUUUAUUCUCUAAGGGUUAUGUCCUGCCCCCUUCCCUCCUGUUUCAUUUGCCACUCAGAGAUUUUACUCCCAUAUUCUUAUGGCAAGAUAGUCCAUCUUCUGUGACUGCUUCAGAGCUGAGUAGGGGCAUUAGCCCUGCCUGGCCGGCCUGGAGGAGCCCAGGGAGUCUUCCUUUUCAUCCCAUUUGGGACCCUCUUCUGGGGCUUGCUUUCCUACCUUGUUCGGCAUGGUCUCUCUCUCACCUGUUUUUACACUCUUUUGGGGAAGGAUUUUUUGAAUGUCAUGCCUAAACUGCACCCCCGUCAUUGCCAGACUCAGUGCUUCUGUGCCAGGAAAAAUUCACAGGCCCCCUUAAGUCUUAUUUUUGUUGUCAAGAAAACAGGGCGAGUGACUCUGGAUUCUUCUGUUGCCUAGUCUCCCACCUCCCCCUCUGUCCACAGCUCUCUUACAAGGAUGUCAGCACCCUUUGGCUCUCAGGCUCUGACCCUUCCAUUGCACCCAACUCCAGUUCCUCCAAGAGUCACUCUUUCCACCCCCCGGACCCCCUUCACUUCAGGCCUUGGCUGCUUACUCCCUCCUGCGAACAGCCUUCAGGGCUGGUCUGUUCCAUGCAGCCCAUGUCCUGAAUAUUUUAGGGCCCAGUUCCAGGGGAUACACACCAAUAUAAGAAAAAUAAUCAUAGGACAUAAUUUUAUAGUCAAAAUACCGCCCCCCCCCCAAGGAAACUGUGACAACUGCAGUGUUUUUUCCAACAUAAAGAACUAAGUUCAACCAAAGACGUCUGGUUCAAAGUCGAUGGGGAUCUAGGGGACGCCCUGCACCCCUUCCAGUUUAAAGCCUCCUGGUAAAUUUUUCUGGGCUGUCAGGUUCUCCCCCAUGGAGAGUCCCUUGUCUCCUGGCUGCAACUUGGGAGGAUUCCUCCCUCUUCUACCUUCUAGACAAUCCUCUUUUACCUCCCCCAGUGCUGAGGGGGAAGCCUCUCCUGCUCCUACAAGUCCCCCUACUUCUCCAGGUUCCCCUGGCCAGUCCCAAUCCCUGCCUCCCUGUGCCCUCUCUACCAACCAGUCCCCCUGGGGGAUCUUUAGCCGGCCUUCCUGUCACACCUUCCAGGAUCAGGGAGAGUGUCCCCUCGUGGGGAAGCGGCAGGUGGCAAGGGCACCGUCCAAGUACAGGUGUCCUUCUCCCCGACCAGGUGAGCCCAGUGUAAACACAGUCUGGGCCAUUUUUCUUAGGAUCCUUUCAGGUUUACUGAAGGCUUUCAAGCCCUGAGCCUGACCUUUGAUUCAACAUGGAAGGACAUCCAAAUAGCCUGUCUGCCUGUUGUGUCCACAAGAAGCAGAGGGUUUGGGCAGCAGCGUGCAGGCACGCUGACCAGCUCCACAGGGGCCAACCCAACGUUUAUGAUGUGGGAGGGGACAGUCCCAGAUGAGGGGCCCGCUUGGGGUUACACUUCCCUGGGGGGACUAGGGCCAGGAACCACGUAGUCCACUGCCUCUUAGAAGGAACGAGAGGGAACUACAUCCAGUCUCUUGGGACAGACCAUGAUGGACGAUAAUAUAAGAAAAGGAAUAUAUGCCCAGGUCACUUUGCUGUCCAGCGGAAAUUGACACAACAUUGUAAAUCAACCAUACUUUAAUUUUAAAAACAAAAUCAAGAGUUCCCAGCAUGGCACAGCAGAAAGAAAUCUGACUAGUAUCCAUGAGGACUCAGGUUCGAUCCCUGGCCUCCAUCAGUGGAUUAAGGAUUCAGCGUUGCCAUGUGCUGUGGUGUAGGUUGCAGACGCAGCGCCAGAUCCCUUGUUGCUGUGGCUGUGGUGUAGACCAGCAGCUGCAGCUCCGAUUCACCCCCUGGCCUGGGAACCUCCAUAUGCCACAGGUGCAGCCCCCCACCCCAAAAAAGGAAAAAGGAAUGAAAAAAUGCAUCAGGAAACCAACCAACUAUGAAAAGGUCAAGGAAGUGACCCAAGAGAAGGAAGAAAAUCCAGUUUUCUUUCAAGGAUGGUAUGCGGAGGCUUUCAGAAAAUUAACUAACACCGACCCCUCCACUCCCAAGGGUCAGUCCUUGCUGGGACAACAUUUUAUCAACCAGUCUGGGAUUUAUUAGGCAAAAGCUACCAUCAGCCCACAAACCCCUGUGCCUCAACUCAGAGGUAGCCUUUGGGGCAUUUAAUAAUUGAGAUCAAGCUGAGGAGGAGGAAAGAACUCAGUGUGAAAAAGGCAGGCCAAGGCUCAAGCUAAACUCAUCACCAUUGCUGUCAGCCUGGCCUUGCAACCUGAGGGCAACCCCAGGGGACCUAGAAGCGUCAACCAUUGGUCUGGAGGCAAGAUCAACAAGGCGGGGGCUCUUCAAAUGCAAGUCAACCAACCACUGGGCCCGCGAAUACCAGAAGGAGCCCACCUGGGCCAUGCCCAGUCUGCACACAAACCAGUCACUGGAGGUGGGACCAUGCUUGGUCCCGAAGGGGUAGGGGGCUCCCACUCCUGAACCAGCCAUGCUGGACAGCUGAGGGGGCCUAGGAUUCUGGCAGCUCUCCCACCCCCCACGAGAUCUGCACAGAGGAGCCCCAGGCGGUUCUUGGCAUGGCAGGUAAGAUGGAUUUUUCAGUCAAUAUGGCGAGCCACCUGCUCUGUCCUGAUUUCUCACAUUGGACCUCUUUCCUCGAGAAGCUGUGCCCCGACUGGUAUCCGAUGGAAAGCCUCACACCUGUGACCUCACUGGAGUCUCACUUGCCAAUUUCAGCGACAUCUGCAUUCACACACCCUUUUGGUUGUCUCUGCGGGUCCUACCCCACUUCCGAGGGAGACCCUCUGGGCUCCCUCGGGGCCAUGUUACAGUUAGGAGGGCCGGACACUGCCUCAUCCUGUCCUGCACAGGGCAGGUCCACAGGAAGGGCAAGGACCCGUUCCCAGCCACAUGCCACAAGCAGGGAAACCUGCGCUUUGGGACAAAGGAGUUCCUGGGAGCUUAGAAACUGACAGAACAGUGUGAACCAACUACAAUGGAAAAAAUAAAAAUCAUUGUAAAAAAUUUUUAAAAAGGAGUUCCCAGGAAAGCCAUAUGCACCAGCCUGUAAAAAUUAGCCUGAAGCCUCAGGCCACUUACCCUAGCGAGAGACAGCACCAUAGAAGCUUGGAAGCAAAAAGGGUCACAACCCCUCAUAGGUAAAUUCUUAAAACAUGGCCUCUUGGAGUUCCUGUUGUGGCUCAGCAGGUUAAGGACCUGACUAGUGUCCUUAAGGACACAGGUUCCUUCCCUGGCCUCGCUCAGUGGAUUAAGGAUCCAUUAUUGCCUCAAGCUGCAGUUUAUGUUCCAGAUGUGGCUUGGAUGCAGCAUUGCUGUGACUGUGGUAUAGACCAUAGCUGCAGCUCCAUUUGACCUCUGGCCCAGGAACUUCCAUGUGCUGCACACAUGGCCCUUAAAAAAAAAAGAAAAAAAGCCUCUUGGUGCCCUGUCAUCCUCCUUGCAGCACCCCUGUUCUGUCCAAUGCUGAGUCUGCUGGAGACAUUGAAAGGUGCAAGACCUCAGAACGUAAAUGAUGCCGUGGUCCCUACACCCCCCCUUGUGGCCAGUCCUCAAACAUACUAGUCCCUGUCCCCGAGGAUGCUGAACGGUCCCCGCUGCUCCACCUCAGCAUGCCUUUUGCAUCCUGGUUCAUCCCUCUGCAUGGCACCUGUUUGCCUUGAGGAGACUAACUCUCACUCCGGCCACAUGCAACAAUAUCCCUGGACAGCCCUGCCUCACAGUUUCAGGAUGGCCCACACCGCUUCGCCUCAGCCCUAGGAAAAGGACUAAGGAAAAUACACCUAAAAGAUGGGGCAAUUCUACAAUAUGCAGAUGAUAUAUUAACAGUGGAGGCCUCAGAUCAGAACACCACUGAGUAUUAAUUUCCUCGGGGCUCAGGGUUACAGCGUCUCCUAGAAAAAGGCACAGAUCUCAAAGCAGCAGGUUAAAUACCAGGUACAUUAUAGAGCUUGGAAGCAGGCGGCCAUCUCCACAUAGGUAACAAGCGGCGUAAGGUCUAGGUGUCCCAAAGACCAGGAAACAUCUCUGGACCUUCUCGGGUAUGGCAGGUUUUGCAGAAUCCGGAUUCCAGGGUUUGGGCUAAUGGCUAAGCCCCUGUAUGAAGCCACUAAAGGCUCAGAUUCAGAACCAUUGCUUUGCACCAGGGAACAAGAAAAGCCUUUUCACCGUGUCAUAAACAGGCCCUCACCAGAGCUCCUGCUCGGGUCUCCCCGAUUUAAAAAAGCCAUUCAUCUCAUACGUGGCUGAAAAGCAGGACAGCUCCCGGGGCACCUAAUGUAGAAACUAGGAGAAGUUCCUCAGCCAAUAAGUUACUGUUCCAAACAACUGGACUCAGUGGCCUGAGGUUGGCCUGGCCGCCUCCAGGCAAUAGCUGCCGCCACUUUGCUAAUGCACAAAGCUAACAAGCUCACUUGGGGCAGCCACUGAAGUCCAGACCCCUCGUCAAGUCCAAGGGAUUCUAGAGACUACAAGCCACCACUGGCUAACUGGAGGCUGCCUUCCUAAGUACCAGGCUUUACUCCCUGACUCAGAGGUAACGCUCAACCUGACACACCUGCAACCUGUCUACACGGAUGCCUGCCGAAAGCACGAAGCUCACAUUCCUGCCUUGAAAGCCUUGGCCGGGUUUCUGCCCGUAGGCCUGGCCAGCAGACCAGGCUGCAGAAAACCCCGAGGAGGAAGGGUUUACUGACCCCCGGGGGUUUCACAAAGCCUCCGGAGGGGAGGUUGUGCUGUCCUGAGCACUCGUGAUAGAGAACUGAAACCUUCCCACCCAGCACUUCCACCCAAACGCCUGAACUGACAGCUCUAACUUAGCCCUCGGCCUGGCCUGGCGGGGAAAAAAAGUUACACAUGGACUAGAAAGACGCCUUUCUGGUCCGACAUGCCCACGGCUAUCGGGGAAGGAAAGAGGGCUUUUGCCUGCAGAGACUUCCCCUGUAAGUUACAAACCCCUUAACACACAAGCUCCAGUAAAAUACCAGCCCCUGUAAAACACAGGGCUGAGAUUGUACAUUAUAGAAGCAGCUGGAAAACUAAAACAAGUAGCAGUUAUUCAUGGCCUCGGGCCCCAAAAGGGACUCUCCCAAAGUGCCCAAGGGAAAAAUGAGCAGACGGGGACACACAGAGAGCAGCCCUGAUGCCCACAACAGAAGUGGCAUCGAUCCAACCCCCAGCCCUCCUAACAUGCUACCUAGGGGGACUCAGCUGCUGAAGAGACCUGGGUGCGAGACAGAGGGGGAAGUGAGGGGCGGGCUGGUGGCACGUGGACCAGAGAUUGCUCACCCCUCUGCGGGCCAGUGGGAAGUCACCGAAGGGCUGCACGGCUCUCCAUCGGGGCAGAGAAGCCGUGUCUCCAACGGUCUCUCAGCUUUUCACAGGCAAAGGGCUUCCAGAUACCAAUCAAAAGAGCUGCCUGAGGUGUUCCCAUUGUGGCUCAGCAGUAACGAACCCGACGAAUAUCCAUGAGGACGUGGGUUCCAUCCCUGGCCUCGAUCAGUGGGUUAAAGGAUCCCACGUGGCUGUGGCUGUGGUGUGGGCCAGCAGCUGUAGCUCUGAUUCGACCCCUAGCCUGAGAACUUACAUUUGCCUCAGGUUCAGCACCCCUCCCCAAAAAAAGAGUUACUUGAUAGUUUCCUGGUGGUUUAUUGAGUUAAGGAUCCAGCAUCACUGCUGUGGCUCAGGUUGCUGCUGUGGCACAGGCUCAGUCCCUGGCUAAGGAACUUCCACGUGCCGCAGGCACAGACAAAAAAAGGUCACUCAGCCUGCACCCUCUGUGUCACCCAUAAUUCUGGAGGCAACCUCAAGCCCCCCACUUCUGUUAGCCCAGUCCAGCGACAAGGGAUUAAUCCAGGAGAGAACUGGCAAAUAGAUUUUACACAGCUCUUCACAAGCUCCGAAUACUCAUUGGUCCCUGUAGGUGACUUCGCGAUGGGUAGAGCCCUUCCCCAGCAGGACAGAAAAGGCAGCUGAUGUGGCUAGAGCGCCUCUGCAGGGGAUCGGCCCUCGGUUCCAGUUGCCCUGCCACCUGCAGAAUGACAGUGGACCCUUGUUAAUAGCAAAGGCCACCCGACAUCUCUGACAGGCCCUAGGAAUUAAACACCACCUCCAUUCGUCCUGGAGACCCGUUCUCAGGAGAGGUGGAACAGGCUGAGCAAACCCUGAAGAGAACCUUGGGCCAGCUCUGCCAGGAAACCUCAGAGCCGUGGUACUGCCUGUUUCCGGUCGCCCUCUCAAAGGUUGGCAAGCCCCUUAAACAAGUGAAGUCGAGCCCCUCUGGCAUGACGUGUGGAAAGCCAUUCCUCACCCUGGACACGCCAUCUGACCCAGACUCUCAAGCUCAUCUUAAAUACAUCCUUAACCCGGACUGGGUCCAGAGCGCCACACAGGAACAUGGGAGCAGAGGAGUUCCCACUGCGGCUUCAGUGGGUUGGGAACACAACUAGUAUCCAUGAGGAUGUGGGUUCAAUCCCUGGCCUUGCUCCGUGAGUUAAGGAUCGGGCGUUGCCACGAACUGUGUUGUAGGUCACAGACACAGCUCAGAUCCUGCGUUGCUGUGGCUGUGGCGUAGGCCAGCAGCUGUGGUUUAGAUUUGGCCCCUAGCCUGAGAACCUCCAUAUGCCUCAGGUAUAGCCCUUAAAAAAAAGAGUUCCCAUCAUGGUGCAGCGGAAACAAAUCCGGCUAGGAACCAUGAGGUUGCGGGUUCGAUCCCUGGCCUCGCUCAGUGGGUUGAGGAUCCGGUGUUGCCAUGAGCUGUGGUGUAGGUCGCAGAUGCGGCUCAGAUCUAAUGUGGCUGUGGCUGUGGUGUAGGCUAACAGCUGUAGCUCCGAUUCGACCCCUAGCCUGGGAAUCUCCAUAUGCUGCAGGUGCAGCCCUCAAAAGACAAA
rnacentral:lncRNA from 1 species